CCUACGGGAGGCAGCAGUGAGGAAUAUUGGUCAAUGGACGAGAGUCUGAACCAGCCAAGUAGCGUGAAGGAUGACUGCCCUAUGGGUUGUAAACUUCUUUUAUAUGGGAAUAAAACGUUCCACGUGUGGGAUUUUGUAUGUACCAUAUGAAUAAGGAUCGUCUAACUCCGUGCCAGCAGCCGCGGUAAUACGGAGGAUCCGAGCGUUAUCCGGAUUUAUUGGGUUUAAAGGGAGCGUAGGUGGAUUGUUAAGUCAGUUGUGAAAGUUUGCGGCUCAACCGUAAAAUUGCAGUUGAAACUGGCAGUCUUGAGUACAGUAGAGGUGGGCGGAAGUCGUGGUGUAGCGGUGAAAUGCUUAGAUAUCACGAAGAACUCCGAUUGCGAAGGCAGUUCACUGGACUGCAACUGACACUGAGGCUCGAAAGUGUGGGUAUCAAACAGGAUUAGAUACCCCGGUAGUC
rnacentral:rRNA from 1 species